GCUAAGGAAGUGUAUCAGUUAUUAAAUGUACAUAUGUAAUUAUUGUUUUUAUGUGUAUGAAAAGGACAAGUUAUUUGUCUUAUUUUAGCGUAGUUAGUUUUCUUACUUUAUUCAAUGUAUUUUAUUAAUGAAAGUAUCAGUGCGCUGCUGCAAGAUAUAGUCAGGUUUUUAGGCAGUUCAAUAAAGAGUUACCUCCCAUUUGAAAACAGCGUUUUCAGUCAAAUCAGAUAUUCAGUCAACAUGGGUUUCUAUUCUUAUGUCAUGUUUAUCAUAGACUCUGAAGGUAAAUUCAAUUCAUAAUUCAAGCAUAAUCAUGCAAUCAAUAUUCUUGUCAUGUCGAAAGGUUGAGAUGUCUCCUCAUCGAGGGUGAUCCGAGUCAAACAUAUGAAACUGCAGCAAGCCACUGUUUUUAUGUAAAUAGCACGUUUAGUUAAUUAUUGUAAUGUUUUAUAUUGUCUUUAUUCUUCGUUAUCAUAAGUCACAAUUCCUAUUGUCGUGUUACAGCUUUGAUAAGCAAGUUUUAUUAAGUGUGUAUACAAAAUACAGUCAGUCUAAAUUGAGCAUUGAAACUUAUAGUCAAAAUCUAUAUUUGGUAUUAAAUGAGCUAUCAUAUUUUGAGAUCUGUUUUAGUAAGUAAGGCAAGUGACUUUAGUCAUUCUUUUAUUAUGUUUCAAGUUAGUUUCCCCCGUCAUUCAAUAUUCUGCUAGUUUCCCCAUUCUAUUUCAUAAAUCAGUCAUUAAUGAUGUCGUAUCAUUAUUCAGAUUAAAUGUGACUUCUGCUUGGCCCGAUACAAUGUUUCAGUAUUUUAUUUGUAUCCGUGUAAAGAAUUGUGUGAUUGCUAUUCCAAUGUCAUUAUGUUGUGUUUUAUAUUAUAUAUCAUUCUAUCAUGUCUAUUGUGUAAUGUAUAAUAUAUU
rnacentral:lncRNA from 1 species